CUCUCUAUGCCUUCUUUCUUACUUUCUUGAAAGAUCUGUUCUUUUUUUUUUUUUAUUGUGAUUUCGAAUUUGUUUUUUUUUUCUUCUCUAUUUAUGUUCGAUUCGUGAAGAAGAAGGGGUGUGGGUCGGGGGAGAUGAAAAGGAAGAGAGAAAAUAUUUAAAUAAUGGUCUUCAUUUGUUCCGGCAAAGAAGAUGUGAAUGGUGGUCUCCAUUUUUUCCGGCAAAAAAAUGUAGAUGAUGAUGUCCAUUUUUCGAUAAAGAACUGUGAUGAUGAUCUCCAUUUUUUUUGACAAAAAAUGAUGGGUUAAUUUUACAUCUGAAAAAUUAAAAGUAUAGUGAUAAGAAGAUUAAAAAAAAAUGGCGGUGUAUUCUUGUGAAGAAAUGGUGCAGCAAGAAUCUUAUAGUGAAAGAGAGAGAAAGAUAAAAAUAUUUUUAUUUUUAAAAAAAAUAAUGAAAAAAA
rnacentral:lncRNA from 1 species